AAAUUUCAGCAAAUAAUUAUAUCUAUUCAUCUCCACCACCACCGUCACCAAAGCCUUACUACUACCACUCACCGCCACCACCAGUGCACUCUCCUCCACCUCCUUACCAUUACAUUUCACCACCGCCGCCACCAAAGAAGCCGUACAAAUACCAUUCUCCUCCUCCACCAGUUUACAAGUACAAGUCUCCACCACCACCCUAUAAAUACCCUUCUCCACCACCACCACCAAAAAAACCUUACAAAUAUCUCUCUCCUCCACCACCAGUUUACAAAUCUCCUCCUCCUCCUUAUAAGUACCCUUCUCCUCCACCUCCACCGUAUAAAUAUCCAUCUCCACCACCACCAGUUUAUAAGUACAAAUCACCUCCUCCACCAGUGUAUAAAUACAAAUCUCCUCCACCUCCACCUAAAAAGCCAUAUAAGUAUCCAUCUCCACCUCCCCCUGUUUAUAAAUACAAAUCUCCACCACCACCAGUUUACAAGUACAAAUCACCUCCUCCACCAGUGUAUAAGUACAAAUCUCCUCCACCUCCACCUAAAAAGCCAUAUAAGUAUCCAUCUCCACCUCCCCCCGUUUACAAAUACAAAUCUCCACCACCACCGGUGUACAAAUCUCCACCUCCUCCCGUUUACAAAUACAAGUCACCACCACCCCCAGUGUACAAAUACAAAUCUCCACCUCCCCCCGUUUACAAAUACAAGUCACCACCACCCCCAGUGUACAAGUACAAAUCUCCACCACCACCAGUGUAUAAAUCUCCACCACCACCCUACAAGCAUAUAUCUCCACCACCAACGCCCAAGAAACCAUACAAGUACCCAUCACCACCACCACCAGUUUAUAAAUACAAAUCUCCACCACCACCAUACAAGUACCCAUCCCCACCACCACCUCCGUACAAAUAUCCAUCACCACCACCACCAGUCUACAAAUAUAAGUCUCCCCCACCACCGUACAAGUACCCAUCACCUCCACCGCCACCAUACAAAUAUCCAUCACCACCACCUCCAGUUUACAAGUAUAAGUCCCCUCCUCCACCUGUUUAUUCACCACCUCCACCACAUUAUGUUUAUGCUUCACCUCCUCCUCCGGUCUAUUCCCCUCCUCCACCGCAUUACAUCUAUGCAUCACCUCCUCCUCCUUACCAUUAAUAGAGAGUGGUUUAC
rnacentral:lncRNA from 1 species